UGCUACUGGUGUGAUAUCACUGAUAUUGUUAAUUUUUAACAGAUGCACAAUAACGAAGCUAAGAGGACUAUAUAAAUGCAGCUACAGAGUAAUUGUUAUACCAACAAACGCCCGAGAUGUAAAACUAUAAACGAAAACCAAAUAGCAUAAUUCUUAAUAUGGCAAUGUCCUAUACGCUUUGAAUAAGUCGCUGAUCCCCAGCACCGCCAUUCGGCUCCAUGUGCGCACAUCUUCCGCUCGCAGAUCCACUUCAUCCCAUGCUUUCGGUGAGCCGUUGGCGUGGAAUCCGCUGAAUCUACCAAAAAUACAGUCAGAUUGGUUGAUGUGGUAAAACUACGCCUUUUUCACAUAAAUUUCAGCUAACGUGGUACACAUAAAACGGUUGACUCAAAUGCAAGCGCAAGACGGCGUACCUUUUAGGACAGUAUACCCAUAUACGGAGAUGGCCAAACAUUUGUGUCGUGCGGCCAUAGUACAGUUUUGGUCCAAAAUUGCGUUAAGGCCGCAGGACAUAUUUGAUUUUCCUUCGUGCUCAUACAUUUAAGAAAGACAUCGCAUAUUUAGCCGAGAAAAGCGCCCGGACAACCAGGACAUCCGGAAGUUAUGGUCGAUUCCGAAUGCUAUAAAUUCGGAUCGUAUCCCAUUCAGCCGGAUACGCCAAAUUCCGCACCCAUCGAGCAUGUACAGCCGCGACCUUUGCAUGUAUGCCGUCGGUGAUCGGCGGAACAUUAUUGUCCAAGCCCCACAUAAAUAGCCGC